CCUACGGGAGGCAGCAGUGGGGAAUAUUACACAAUGGGGGAAACCCUGAUGCAGCAACGCCGCGUGAAGGAAGACGGUCUUCGGAUUGUAAACUCCUGUUCUUAGUGAAGAAUAAUGACGGUAGCUAAGGAGCAAGCCACGGCCAACUACGUGCCAGCAGCCGCGGUAAUACGCAGGUGGCAAGCGUUGUCCGGAAUUACUGGGUGUAAAGGGAGUGCAGGCGGGAAGCCAAGUCAGCUGUGAAAACUACGGGCUUAACUUGUAGACUGCAGUUGAAACUGGUUUUCUUGAGUGAAGUAGAAGUUGGCGGAAUGCCGGGUGUAGCGGUGAAAUGCGUAGAUAUUCGGAGGAACGCCGAUGGCGAUGGCAGCCAACUGGGCUUUAACUGACGCUGAGGCUCGAAAGUGUGGGGAGCGAACAGGAUUAGAUACCCUGGUAGUC
rnacentral:rRNA from 1 species